AGAAUCAGGUACAGAAUUAAAGGACAAACGGGAGAAUGACAAAGACAAAACUAAUGGUACUGAACAACAGACGAAAUGGAUUGUGUCAGUUGUAGUGUGUUCGGUGAUUCUGACUGUGAUUGUGAUUUCUGUCAUCAUAUGGCGACGUCAGCACAGAGGUCACACACAGGUUCCAGUACAGGAGAAUACAGAGCACAGACAGGAACUGGAGGAACUAUAAUGAUCUUCACUGAAUGUGACUCAACUGCACAGGAGCCCUGAACACCUGCGACGCCACUGGUUACUUGUUAUUUCCCUUCAACACCAACACAAUUCUGUCAACAUAUAACGGCAGCUGGGGGUGUGAUAUGUAUC